rnacentral:lncRNA from 1 species
UGGCAAUAUCAGAGAGCUGCACUGCGCUGCUGCUUAAAGAAAAACUGCUGCGGAAACAAUUCGAUUACGGCACUUUUCAUUUCAUAUCUGUAGCCACUACUAUUGACACCUUCACCCACACCAACUUGAGUGUUAUUGAAAACCUUCACCCCAAAAUGCCUAACCGUUUGAGCAUAUCCCUGACUGCAAUUGGCGGCUGCGCGACGCAACUGCCUUCGGGCAUCGAAACCCCGACACUCGCCUCCGGAGUAGGAUCGAGCCCCGGACUCGACGCCGCUGCCCAUCCGCUGCAGCGUGUCCGAACGCCUUUCAAAUAAGUACAGCUAUCAGCGACCAGUGUGUGAUUUACCAAAGGGAUUACAUACAUCGGAACAUGUCAAUAAUCUACAUUUAUAUCAAAAUCUAUAUCGAUAUUGUUUUUUUUUUUUUAUCUUUAGAGAGAAAGAUAGUAAGUUACCGCUUUAUUCAGUAAGAAAAUAAAUUUAGCAACAAAGUGAAGCAUCAUGGCUUCGCGAGAGAGAAAAAAAACACUAAACAUAAUAAAGAUCCCCACAUAUUUCUAAGUGCGCGAAAGUUCACCAGCAACUGUCUCAGCGAUAACUUUUUGUGGUAAAAAAUUCUUCUAUUCUGCUCCAACCAUGAAACCCACCAAGUAGAGGAGAUGUAUAUAAAUAUUGUUGAAAGCGUGAUUUGCUUUGAUACCACUUGUUGUAUGGAAAAAAAUAUUACAGCGAAUUAAACUAAAUACUUUAUUAAAUAUUUUUACACUAAAUUUCGAUAGUAGAUAAUUUUUCAUAUAUUUACAGCAGUCUAUUUAUAGGCAUAAAUAAAAAAUCCUAAUAGCAAUAAUAGAAAAUAAAAUAAACUUACUUUUUAUAUUCAAUUAAUAAAAUAUUAAAAAAUAAAUCUGACGGAAAUAAAUCUAAUCUUACAGAUAUAAUAGGUUGAAAAAUGAAAGAGAAAGGGCAUGGAGAAGUACAGAUCCGUUUUGGAAUAAUAUAUGGCCCGAGUUUCGUGCAAGUGAAUUAAUUACAGGAGAGAAGGUUCGUCGAAAACCUGUUUUUAAUUGAGG